rnacentral:rRNA from 1 species
CAUGCAAGUCGAACGAGAAAGCUUUCUUCGGAAAGUGAGUACAGUGGCGGAAGGGUGAGUAAUACCUAGAUAAUCUACCCCUAAGGUCGGGAUAACAGUUGGAAACGACUGCUAAUACCGGAUGUGGCCAUCGAGACCUCGGUUUUGAUGGUUAAAGGUGGGGACCCCUCGGGGCCUACCGCUUAGGGAGGAGUUUAGGCACUACCAGCUUGUUGGUGGGGUAAAGGCCUACCAAGGCUAUGACGGUUAGCCGGCCUGAGAGGGUGUUCGGCCACACUGGGACUGAGACACUGCCCAGACUCCUACGGGAGGCUGCAGUCGAGAAUCUUCGGCAAUGGGCGAAAGCCUGACCGAGCGACGCCGCGUGGAGGAUGAAGGCCUUCGGGUUGUAAACUCCUGUCACGUAGUGAGAAAACCAAGGUCUUAAUAUGGCCUUGCUUGACAAGCUAUGGGAGGAAGCCACGGCUAACUCUGUGCCAGCAGCCGCGGUAAUUCAGAGGUGGCAAGCGUUGUUCGGAAUCACUGGGCAUAAAGGGGGUGUAGGCGGCGCUAUAAGUCAGGUGUGAAAUCCCUCGGCUCACCCGAGGAACUGCGCCUGAAACUGUAGUGCUUGAGUGUAGGAGGGGAGAGUGGAACUUCUGGUGGAGCGGUGAAAUGCGUAGAGAUCAGAAGGAACGCCGGUGGCGAAAGCGACUCUCUGGCCUACUACUGACGCUGAGGCCCGAAAGCUAGGGGAGCAAACAGGAUUAGAUACCCUGGUAGUCCUAGCCGUAAACGAUGGGCACUAAGUAGAGGGGAUUCCGAUAUUCUCUCUGCCGGAGCUAAUGCAUUAAGU